CACAGUGGAUUUCGUUUCUGCUGCUCUUGUCGACCCAGUUUGAACCUUGUGCUGUGUCUUGUCUCAUUUCGUCCUCGUUCUCAUGCCAGUGGGACUCGGUUGCCUGUGUGUGUAUGUGUGUUAGUGUGUGUGAAACUAUGAUUGGUCAGCUGUGGUGGGUUUUUUUAUGUGCCGGACUGCUGUGCGAUGCCACUUCUCACUCGGGACAUAGAACGCUUCAAUGGACUGUCUCUCCUUUACUGGAUCAUAAUGGGACCGCACGGCAUCAAUCGAGCCAUUCAGAGACUUGACUUCUGCGACUGCAGACGAGGACUCGGUGUGAAAAUCAUUGGAGGUCACCGCCAGCUGACCGGCGAGGACUUUGGCAUUUAUAUUAAGAGAGUGAUCGGUGGCAGCUUGGCAGAGCUAGACGGUCGACUUAGGGCAGGUGACCUGAUCCUGGAGGUCAAUGACACCAGUCUGGUUGGCGUGACAAAUGAAAGAGCUGUAGAGAUUCUUAGAUCGGCAUCACUGUCCAAUCACAUGUCCCUGCUGGUUGCCAGGGACGAUGACUCCAGGAGAGAAUUUUAUGAACUGAUGGACAAGUACGGCGGAAACUACAGUUCCCUGGGUUUACAAAUGUCUCCGGCACAGCAGUGUGCAGGCAAGCAGGCUGGCAUCUUGUCUUCUGACAGUCCUCAGCUCCUUACUCCUGAAAACGGAGUCACUCCCACUAGCUCCUCCUACAUCUCGCACUCAUCCUCUCUGGCCCCCAGCGACGGCAUUAUUCAGUUGAUCUGUGUAGCUAAAGCUGCAGGGUUGGGACUCGUCAUUGGAGGUGGAGCUAAUCGACCCAAUGGACCAAUGGUGUUUGUCCAGGAGAUCAUGGUUGGCGGCGACUGUCAGAAGGAUGGUCGUCUACAGGUCGGAGAUCAGAUCAUCUCUAUCAACAAAGAAUCGCUAAUUGGAGUCACAUAUGAGGAGGCGCGAGGUAUCUUGACUCGGACUAGACUCAGCAGGCCUGAUCCCACAGUGGAAGUGGCCUUUGUCCGUCGACGGUCUUCCUCCAGCUCUAGUGGACCUCACAGUCCAUCUGGAGGAGUUAGACUUCAGGGAAAGUUGAUGGGUCCAGGCUCAUUAUGUGCACAGCCAGGUCUCAUUCCAAGAAUCACGUCCAGCCUGAACCCAACAAGCGAGACCCUUCCAGCAGUGGACGUGCAAGUGUCUCCAGUCAUGAUCAGAGACUCACACAUGAGCUCGAACCCAGUCAAAGAGCCUGAGGGAGGCACAGAACCAAACCCCGACGGUCCAGAACCUCAGGUUCGGAAAUGUCCCUCCAGCAACAGUGGCCAUCUAACACUGGACCAAGUGGACCAGGCUGUGGAUCUGCCCGGACUGGACCUCAGAGAGUCUCAGCUGCCAUUGGAGCGGGUCGGCAAUGUCUCCACAGCAGAUUUUGAGCGUUUCACCCGAGGAUUGGUCAUUUCGCAACUGAAGGAAGGGCCUGAGUUCACACCCAACGACCCAACUUGUCUGCUGCAGGACACACAGGUCAGAGGAACCAAAACUGAGAUGGAGAAGUUAAGAAAAGAACACUGUGAAGCUCUCCAGGAGGUCAAGCGGCUGCAGGAACAGCUGAAAGAGUCUCAGAGAGUUUUUCUUCAGAUGGAGGAGGAAGUGACCAAGGCCAAACAGAAGGCAGAACUGGCUGAGGAGGAGACACAAACUCUCCGAUCAGAACUUCAGCAAGUCCAUGAGGUGCAGAAGGAGGCACGGGGGAUGGAGAUGGAUUAUGAAGAGGUGGUCCGCCUUCUUGAGGCUGAGAUAGCUGAGCUCAAGGCCCAGAAGGCAGAGUCCACCACAAACCAGCAUGGCUGGGAAGAGCUGAAGAAGAAGAUUGCUGUGCUCGAGUGUCAGCUGAGGAAGAGUGAGGAGCGACAGAAGAACUUGCAGAGUUCCACAGCCAAAUUGCUGGCCUUCACAGAGAAUGUUCAGAACUUCCUGCAGGAAGCAGGACAAUCUGGACGAAACUUCAGCCCUGGAGAGACUAAAGCUGCGGCAUCUGCAUGCUACAAAAAGCCCUGGGCAUCAGCUUCAUUGCUUCAGGAGGCCAAGGAACUGAACAAGGCUGUUCGAGCAGUGUUGGACAUGGACUCCUCAACCUGCUAGAAGACCCGAUGAUCCGGACUCACCAUGGCUCCAUCUCUCAACUGAAUGCAUGACUCUUCCAUUCAAUCAACCUAAUGCCUGCCCUACGGCUGGGAGGAAGCAUACACUGACCAGGGGAUCAAGUAUUACAUCAAUCACCUGACCCAGACAACAUCAUGGACUUUAAAUGAGACCACAGGCGUCACCCCCUCCAUUGCAUCAGAUUUGGGUUCGGAGCAAGAAGGAGCUGAGAGGGUCAGACUUCCAGGCUCCGCAAUAGAAACUGAGAUGUAGAAGUGACAU